GAUUUGCAUUAUAGCCACUGAAGAUUAUACUGAACUCCUGAAAGACCUGAAAGGUUUUGAAAGACCCCUGCCUUACUCAGGAAUUGAUAGACUUCCUCUCUUUUCAGGCUUCAGCCCACUCAGCCAAUAAGGCUGAAAGACUUAGGAUGCUAAGAAUCUCACCUUCGUCUUCCUUCAUCUUUUAGCCACACUACAGCAAACCAGGCUGAGUCUGAGAGUUUUUCCAGUUAACUCUUGACUUUUCUACACUUCAGAAUUCAUCAGAAGGUAAAAUGAAAGCAGAAAAAAAAUCUUCCUCUGGUAGGACAAGCAAUUGUGGCUGAAACUGGACAAGUAUCAGCAUAGAGUUUGCUGUGUUGGAGAGAAUUCCUGUCAUGUACCCCCCACAUUUGCAACCCCAGUACCAUUCAUGCCAGUUCACAGAGCACAGCUAGCCCCUUGUAAUGAAGCAGUACAUGGCAUUUUACAAAACCACUAGUAUGCGCUUCCUAAAGGGUUCAGAGACCAGGGAGAUUCCUUCAUCCCCCUGAAAUCUAUUUUCAGUGAUUUGACAUCAUCCUCUCCUCUGUGAUUGAGCUCAGAUAAACUCAAAACUAUUCUCAUGCAAUCACCCUGUCAUGUGUGUGUCUAUAUCUUAAGAACAGCCAGGAUUGCCUCAUAUAUUGGAAGCUAAGCAUGUCAUGUGUUUGCGGUGGGUACAGAAUGUGAAGCAAUCGAGCUUUCAUAUAAGAACUCAGUAGCAGUACUCAAUUCAGAGUGCUAUUAAGCAAAAUGUUGAACCAGGGAAGUUAGUUCCACUUAACAAUCUGAUUAUCCUUUGAUAAUGUUAUUUUUCUGUUGUUUUUUUUUUUUGUUUUUUUGUUUGUUUGUUUGUUUGUUUCUUUUUCCUCAGUUGAUGUAAAAACCAUAAUUCUAUUGAAGCCAGCAGAGUACUUGACUUGUAGUAGCUGAAGAUCUAGCCCUAAGGUUAUGACAUUAUGCCUCUACUAAAACAUGUUUCUGUUUUUCAUUUAGUUACCUAAUGCUAAUAAUAGUCUGCAUUUUCUGAAUAACUAACAUGUAGGUAAAAGCACUUUUAAUAAAAAUACUCAAAUUAUCA
rnacentral:lncRNA from 1 species